UUUUGAUAUAUGCAAUAGACUAUGCAUGUACUGAUGCUUAAAACAAAACAGUAACGCCUUCUGCAAAUUUGAGAUUCCCAAUGUAUUAAGCUUGACCAAUUAGCAUAUCUGAAUCAUGUAUGCCCUUUCAGCUCCCAACAAACUCUCGGGAAUGUAUCAAUACAUGUAGGCUAACACAGUUUGCAACAAGUUUUACUUGAUGACUGUGUAUUAUGGGCAAAACACUCCCAUGUAUCAGCCACAACAUUUAGCUCUGUAAGGAAUAAGAGUAUAUGCAUUGGACUAUAUGGCACCAAAUAUGUUUGCAAAAUGCACCCCUAUACUACAGAUCAUAGUAGAAUGAAUCUGUCCUUCCAGGAAAGAGUUGCUGGACAACUCAGAAGAAUCAUUGGGAAUUUGACCAGUCAAUGCAACGAGCCAGGCAGUACAGCAACUAUAGUGCAACUGCCAGCUUUAUUCCUUCAGUGACCAGACACCUGAGUUAGUAGGACACAUAUUAGCCCUUCGUACCCUCUAGAAGCUUAAGAGACAGUAUUAAGAUGUGAACAUGACAGCAGAACCUCAAAAUGUAAGCAUGUGGGUACUUGCAUUUUGACCCAAAUCUCUACACUCACAAAAGUAAAUCCAACCAACAUAGUAAAACAUCAUACUGGAACAUAUAAAGUUUCCAGGGAGCUCAAUGUUACUGAUCAUUUCAAUCCUUAGAUUAUAAGCAGGUACUCCCUCCAAUGCAAUAUGCCACAAUUUGCCCACCAGCGAUGAUAAUGCACGUCAUGUAAGAGCUCAAGAGAUCUAGCAUACUAGUGUGAAACUUAAUAAUAGCAGAAACGCAUCUUGUUUUGUAAGAUAAUUUGGUAAUGACGAACUAAUGACAUCGGACAUGCACGAGCUGGUUAAUAAAAAUCCUAUUAGCCUGAUAACGAUCUGAUUAGCCAGCCAGUCACAGCAUAUACAUGCACUAAAAGUUCUCUUUGUCUCAGGAAUAUUCAAUUCACAAGAUCCACUGCCAGUAGUACAAUAAUGCUGGAUCGUUAGGUGCUGCUGCUCUGAGCGUAACUACCAUCAUACAGCUUGCCUAGAAUACCAAUUGCAGGGUAAGCUACUCCCAAAUGACCAUUUUACACGUAAGUACGAUGAGAAAACAAUAUAAAACAUCAAAUCUCCAAUUAGAACCAGCUAGUCGGUGAUGAUCCGUGCGUAUCUUGAUGGCAGCAUGUCUCACGGGGCACAUGUAGCUCGAUCCAAUUAGUAGAAAACGCCUACAGGUUAUCACGUGGACAUGGUAUUGUUUAUGAAGAAACCCCUUGGCCCCAGCCCUCCACCCAAGGUCACACACUCCAGUGAGAUCAAUCUCUUGUUUAAGUCUACACUUGACCAAUUAAGAAAAUAGAGAGUACUGCUUAUGUACUAUACAAUAGGCCAAGUAGGCCUGCCUGCUAAACAGAUGCUAGGAAUCACAUGCAUUAUCUUAUCGUAUUGCGUUACGUUAACAGACCCUCACAUGCCUUACAUACUUUAGAUCUGUCACCUUGUUCGUGCGUAAACUUUGAAAAGUGAUAUGUGAAUCAUGAGGUCCAGGUAAAUUUUGUAAAGAAGAUCAGCAUGGACAAUGAUGAAGCCUCAUGGUCUGAUACUGAAAAGAUCCUCAAAAGGCAGUCCUGCUCAGUUAGGAUAAGAAUAUGUAAGAUGCAAAUAUUGGCCACGAAAAUCGGUCUUUCCUCAUCAACAUUGGCAUGAUUUGGGCAUCAGUUGGAUAAUCUUUUGACCACCGACCACCACACAACAUUGAUGGAGUCGUACUGGUCAGCAAAACUUUACAUAUAUCACAGUUAGUUUACGUUAUCAUCACACCUUGUUGCCACAACAAGCAAAGGACUCUUUACUAGACAAAAGAACAAGUGAAUUCCAGAAAAGAGUGACAAUGUAGUGACAUCCUGAAUGAAGAUAAAUCAUACCGAGGAAUGUGCCUAGAGGUAUAGACAGGCAAAACAAACAAUAAAUUACCAAGGUUGAUUUUGUAAGGCGAGAUGCUUCCACUCACUAUAUGACUAACAGGGUUUUUAAUGAAAUGACAGGUACUACUCUGACACAAGAGAGGGAAUCAUAUGAUCUGGAGAUACUGACGGUCAGCUGUCUUCAGUUCAACACUCCUCCAAGAUGACUGGCUAUUUCUAGGAAAUCUAAGACCUACUUGCUAAUAAAUAUUAAAACUAAGGUUCUGACAGCGCUCUCAGUGCCCAACAACCGAAAAGAUACAAUACAACUAGUUUUCAGUUAACAAGGAAAAGAAUCCAGAUCUUGCUGCAGAACCUCAACAUGCUCAUCAUUGAAAGCUAGAUUAUACUAGGGCGGGCGGUUGGUAAACAGGAAAUUAAAACAAAUAUUCUAAGGCUAAAGCUACAAUCAGUGCACAUCUACUAGUUCAGGCACCAUCGGCUAAAUUUACCCUAGUAUUGAGUUUCAGGUGACAGACAUUCAGAACUGGACAAAAAUGAAAACAGAGUAGCAUUGAAAUCCCCCUAAAGGCACGUAAGAACGCACCGACAUGUACUACGAAGUUGAAAAAUCAUGUGCUAGUAGGGCUGCAGAACACGAAAUACAGUGUGCAGGUUACCCAGCAAAGUGAUUAUGCCGGUCUGGGGAGACAUUUUCAGGAAUACCGUUCACAAAAAGGAAGUGUGCAAGUGCACACGUCGACGCCGAAAGCUUCAACUCCCUUGGUUCUAUCUUCCAUGCAUAUCAAAGCCACCAUAUAUUCAUGCCUAAACUUUGGUCCAUGUGUAUCUGUUUUAGCCAAAUAAACUACUGCGAGUUGAGCACCAUGGAAAUAAGGUAGUGCUUCCUCUAGGGAGCAGAAAUCUUUAGUUAAGACAGUAAAGAGAAUCACCAUCACCUAAUGGAGUUAAUAAUUUUCCAAUCGUAGAAUUUUGUGUCCGGGCGAUUGGGUAGCCAGUUCCAGCUCAGGAUGGUUUCCAUGAUAGUGAUAGUCUCGUAGAUACAAGUUGAUUGAUCACAUAAACUCCUAGCACUGAAUAUUCCAUUCAAACCCGUUGUCGAAAAUAUCAUCUGAAUUUCCCAAAUGUUAGUUUCUCCAAUGGCAUGAGCAUAAACUCAAAUAUCUAAACUUGGAUGGACCAGAUAAAAUGAAGCGUGCAAAAGUGCAUGUUCUUGAAAAAACAAGUGUGAAAAGUGCAUGUUCCAAGGAAAAAUAAGGUGUGCAGAAAUCGAACUCUUCCCAAACGCAUUACAAUUUUCAGAGGAAAAAUGAUAAAAAUGAAGUAUGCACCUGUGCUGACACCACAUAUGUUAAGAGUAUUUUGUUGUUUUGCGGAGGUUUACGUAUUAAGCAAGGGGGCCAUAAAUAAUUGGAGCCAGGACUCUCAUCCGAUUAAGUUUAUUUUUGCUAGGUAAAUAGAUUACAUCGUAACUCACACACAAUGAACUAGGGUUCAUACUUAAUGCUUGGUAAAAGUUCUGCUCUAGAAGCAGUAAGAAAAUUGCAUUUGCGAUCAAUAUGCAAAAAUCUUCAAAGUAUUUGGUUACAAUUUCCGGUUCUGAUGCGAUCAGUAUACGUAUUUUACAUGCUCAAAUACUUAUCAGUAGAUAUGUGUGUUUCUUUCUAUAAUUUAUUAUUCAAUCUAGUAAACAUGAUUAUAGGAUUAUAGCUACUGGGCUGAUGCAACAAUUUAAAAAAAACAGCACAAAUAUAGCUAGACUAGAAAAUCUAUUUUGUUUCAUGUUAGAGGUCCAAGAUUGAGAAUUUUAGAUCAAUAGGUGCACCUACAUUCAAGAAUCGUUUUCACCAAGCCAUGCAUUUCAGUUUACUAAUACAUUUUUAGUUAUGGAUCAUAGAUGUGAAAAUUGUUGGUUCCAGAAAACGGGUGAUAGUUACAGAUUUAUCAAGUAGAAAAGUUGUUUAGAUGGAUACUGUAACCAUGGCAUUGGUAGUCCCAAAUGUUGUUUUGUGAGUGGGUAGUACAGUCUGAAUAGAGUAGAAGAGAAUGAAAAUUUGUUGAGACAAUUGCAGCCUAUGUGUAGCGUAAUGUAUGUCUGCACGCAAACAAGCUUCCCUUUACACAAAACCUACCACAUAUUCAGAUUCAAAACCAGAGAAGCUUGAUUCUCAGUGAUUGGAUAACUAGUAAAUGAACCUUUACAUUUGUUUAGAAAAAAGAAGUUCCCUGAAUCCAUGAUCUAUACUGCAGGUUCAACAGCAUCGUUAAAUGUAUUCUAUACUGCAGGUCACUGGAGGUUUCAGUAGCUGAAUCCACUUAUGCAGUAGCUUCUUACUGAAGAUCAUGGGAGGUUCCAAAUCAGUAGCUACAUUUACCAAUGUAAUAGCUUCUUAGGUAACAUAGAACUAAACGCACCAGCCCAGCAUCUAGACUCUAGAGUAACAAAGUUAAAUCUUUCGAUGGUUAAAACUUAAAACACAUAGCACUUGCAGACCUAGAAUUCACACAGUAAUGUCAGUAACAAAGAAACUAGGCCGUCUGAAUAUAUCAUCUAGUUUUUGCUUCCUACUCUGUCACUCUGCCCCAUCUCUCAAACAAAGAUAGGUAGUCUGAAUAUGUCACUUGAUCUUCGCUUCCUACUAUAUAUCAUUAUGCCCCGUAUCUCAUUAAAGGUGCAUCAACACAUGAUUCCCUAACGAACAAAAAAGCAGAUCAUAUACAAAUGCACUAAUACAACAUGAAAGCCUUUUUGGAGUUGGAUCAAGCAAUCAUUUGCAAACACCAAUUAAGAUCAAACUGGCCCUGCAAUGACAUAUCAUAUUUCUUGACUGCUUUGUUCUUGUGGACACACCCAGAGUUUGGAAAAGGCACUUGGUGCAUUCAUACCAAGGAAGACCUUUCCGAAUUCCUAGCAUGGUCCUGCAGUUGCAUUUUAAGUUAUGGAUCAUAGAUGUGAAAAUCGUUGGUUCCAGAAAACGGCGGAUAGUUACAUUCGAGUAAUUUAACAAGUAAAGAAGUGUUGUUUAGAGGGAUACUGUAGCCAUGGCAUUGGGAUUGAGUGGGUAGUACAGGCUGAAUAGAGUAAAUAGAGUGAAAAUUUGUUGAGACAUAAUUGCAGGCUAUGUGUAGCAUAAUGUGUGUCUGCAUGCAAACAAACUCCCCUUUACACGAAACCUACGACCUAUUCAGAUUCAAAAUCAGAGAAGCUUGAUUCUCAAUGGUUGGAUAGCUAGUAAAUGAACCUUCACAUUUGUUUACCAGAAAUAAGUUCCCUGAACCCAUUAUCUAUACUGCGGGUUCAACAGCACUUUUAAAUGCAAUCUAUACUGCAGGUCACUGGAGGUUUCAGUAACUGAAUCUACAUACGUGGUAGCUUCUUACUGCAGGUCAGGGAGGUUCCAAAUCAGUAGCUAAAUCUACCAAUGUAAUAGCUUCUUAAGUAACAUAAAGCUAAAUGUACCCGUCCAGUAUCUAGACUGCUAGAGCAACAUAGUUAAAUCUUUCCAUGGUUAAAACACAUAUCACUUGCAGAACCAGAAUUCUCACGGUAAGGUUAGUAACAAAGAAACUAUACAGUCUGAAUAUAUCAUUUAGUUUUCGUUUUCUACUCUGUCACUCGCCCCAUCCCCCAACAAAGGUAGGUAGUCUGAAUAUAUCGAUUAGUCUCCGCUUCGUACUAUAUAUCAUUAUGGCCCGUAUCUCAUUAAAAGUGCAUCAACACAUGAUUCCCUACCGAACAAAAGGGCGGAUGAUAUACAAAUGCACUAGUACAACAUGAAAGCCUUUUUGGAGUUGGAUCAAGCAAUCAUUCGCAAACACCAAUUAAGAUCAAACUGGCCCUGCAAUUGACACAUGAAGUUUCCUGAAUGCUUUGUUUGCGUGGACACACCCAGAGUUUGUAAAAAGGCACUUGAUCCAUUCGAUUAGCAAGGAAGACCUUUCUGAUUUCCGAGGAUGGCCAUCUCACUCUUGGUACUGAACUUUUAUCAGUUUGAAUAUACGAAGCGGUCUGGGGGCUCCAUUCAUUUCUCUAUUAUUACUAAUAACAUAGGCCAUGAUCAACAUCCUGAUAAUUAGGGUCUCUCUGCCAACAUAGGCCAUUAAUGCAAGCACCUAAGCACCUAGGCAUGGAAUUAUCCAAGCGCAGCAACAGCAUUUCGAGGAAAUGGUAACCGCAGCAUAAUUAUUGGCAUUGACUAUUUGAUGACAGCGAGCACAGGCGUAGCUCUAGCGAGCGAAGCACAAAAGUAAGCUACGUAAAUCCUAGGCGGCAUAAUAUGUCUUACCACCGUAAUAGAAAGCAGGGUGCCGAUUUAUACGAACACCAGAUUGCGCGAAGGAGGAAGGGGAAACUUACAGCGAAACCCUAGCGAGAGAUGGCGACAUUUUGGGGGAGAGGGCUGGGGGAGGUCGCGCCAUAGGAUAGGAUCGAGACAGAACGCCACUAGCGGCAGAGGGGCAGAGAGACAAGCGAAGAGAGGGAGCGGAACUGCGGAGGCGAUCUGGGCGCGGCGGCACUGACGCUCCUCCGCCGGGGCGAAGCGGCGGGUGGGGAGCGCGUUGGCUUCAACUGGG
rnacentral:lncRNA from 1 species